CGUCAGCUCGUGUCGUGAGAUGUGGUUAAGUCCGCAACGAGCGCAACCCUUGCCAUCAGUUGCUACGAAAGGGCACUCUGAUGGGACUGCCGGUGACAAACCGGAGGAAGGUGGGGAUGACGUCAAGUCCUCAUGGCCCUUAUAGGUGGGGCUACACACGUCAUACAAUGGCCGGUACAAAGGGCAGCAAACCCGCAGGGGGAGCCAAUCCAUCAAAGCCGGUCGUAGUCCGGAUCGCAGUCUGCAACUCGACUGCGUGAAGUCGGAAUCGCUAGUAAUCGUGGAUCAGCAUGUCACGGUGAAUACGUUCCCGGGUCUU
rnacentral:rRNA from 1 species